UGAUGGGUUGCAGGUGUGUGUAAUGAUUGUUGCCAGGUGUGCAUAAUGAUGGGUUGCCAGGACCAGUGGUUUGUAAACCGGUGACAUCACGUGCCGGAGCAGACGUGACAUAGAUAAAGCGCUUCAUUGCCAAAAUCACAAACUAUCCCUUUAAGAUGACUACACUAACUCAUCCUUUCUCCUCAAAAUGCAUUAGAGAAAAAUAUCUGAGAGGAGGGACCUUCUCCAAUAUGGUUGCGGAGGAGGCAAGGAGAUGGGAUGUGAGGAAUUGCAGAAAUACAGAUUGCGAUCAAGCCCCAUGCAGACUAAGAUCACCCUGACCUUCCCUUUACGGAGGAUCACUUCUUCCCUCCG
rnacentral:lncRNA from 1 species